AAACGACUCUCGGCAACGGAUAUCUCGGCUCACGCAUCGAUGAAGAACGUAGCAAAAUGCGAUAGUUGGUGUGAAUUGCAGAAUCCCGUGAACCAUCGAGUUUUUGAACGCAAGUUGCGCCCGAAGCCAUCCGGUUGAGGGCACGCCUGCCUGGGCGUCACG
rnacentral:rRNA from 1 species